AUCGAACGCUGGCGGCAUGCCUUACACAUGCAAGUCGAACGGCAGCACGGGGCAACCUGGUGGCGAGUGGCGAACGGGUGAGUAAUGCAUCGGAACGUACCUUUCAGUGGGGGAUAACGUAGCGAAAGUUACGCUAAUACCGCAUAUUCUGUGAGCAGGAAAGCAGGGGAUCGCAAGACCUUGCGCUGAUUGAGCGGCCGAUGUCAGAUUAGCUAGUUGGUGAGGUAAAGGCUCACCAAGGCGACGAUCUGUAGCGGGUCUGAGAGGAUGAUCCGCCACAAUGGAACUGAGACACGGUCCAGACUCCUACGGGAGGCAGCAGUGGGGAAUUUUGGACAAUGGGGGCAACCCUGAUCCAGCCAUGCCGCGUGAGUGAAGAAGGCCUUCGGGUUGUAAAGCUCUUUCGGCCGGGAAGAAAUCGCACGGGCUAAUACCCUGUGUGGAUGACGGUACCGGAAUAAGAAGCACCGGCUAACUACGUGCCAGCAGCCGCCGUAACAC
rnacentral:rRNA from 1 species